rnacentral:lncRNA from 1 species
GCGGUCGUCGUUCGUUUCGGCUUGCGUUGGUUUCAAAGCACCAUUUAAACACUAUUGAAGCAUUAAAGCACCAAUGUUGUUGUUGAGGUUUCGAUUUUGCUUUGUUCUUCUUGUUCGGUUAUUUGGAUUUUUUCAAUUUUUUCAUUUUUUUUAUCAUUUUGGGGUUGUUGUUAAGUCUGUUUUUUUGGCUCUUUUUCUAAUUUUUGGACUCCUUAUUUUGUGUAUUGUAGGUACUCUUGCAAUGGAGAAAAGAAGUUAACAGAGUGAACUUUAUCAUGACAGGAAGAAGGUAUGUGGGGUUAUACUAUAUUUGCAAAUAGUUUGGGUUAUUUUUGAUUUUAAAUAGAAACAAUACUUUUUUAUGCAAUUAACUUUUAGACACU